AUGUGCCUUCGGGAACCGUGAGACAGGUGCUGCAUGGCUGUCGUCAGCUCGUGUUGUGAAAUGUUGGGUUAAGUCCCGCAACGAGCGCAACCCUUAUCCUUUGUUGCCAGCGGUCCGGCCGGGAACUCAAAGGAGACUGCCAGUGAUAAACUGGAGGAAGGUGGGGAUGACGUCAAGUCAUCAUGGCCCUUACGACCAGGGCUACACACGUGCUACAAUGGCGCAUACAAAGAGAAGCGACCUCGCGAGAGCAAGCGGACCUCAUAAAGUGCGUCGUAGUCCGGAUUGGAGUCUGCAACUCGACUCCAUGAAGUCGGAAUCGCUAGUAAUCGUGGAUCAGAAUGCCACGGUGAAUUCGUUCCCGGGCCUUGUACACACCGCCCGUCACACCAUGGGAGUGGGUUGCAAAAGAAGUAGGUAGCUUAACCUUCGGGAGGGCGCUUACCACUUUGUGAUUCAUGACUGGGGUGAAGUCGUAACAAGGUAACCGUAGGGGAACCUGCGGUUGGAUCACCUCCUUACCUUAAAGAAGC
rnacentral:rRNA from 1 species